rnacentral:rRNA from 1 species
AGUGAACGCUGGCGGUAGGCCUAACACACGCAAGUCGAACGGCAGCACAGUAAGAGCUUGCUCUUACGGGUGGCGAGUGGCGGACGGGUGAGGAAUACAUCGGAAUCUACUUUUUCGUGGGGGAUAACGUAGGGAAACUUACGCUAAUACCGCAUACGACCUACGGGUGAAAGCAGGGGAUCUUCGGACCUUGCGCGAUUGAAUGAGCCGAUGUCGGAUUAGCUAGUUGGCGGGGUAAAGGCCCACCAAGGCGACGAUCCGUAGCUGGUCUGAGAGGAUGAUCAGCCACACUGGAACUGAGACACGGUCCAGACUCCCACGGGAGGCAGCAGUGGGGAAUAUUGGACAAUGGGCGCAAGCCUGAUCCAGCCAUACCGCGUGGGUGAAGAAGGCCUUCGGGUUGUAAAGCCCUUUUGUUGGGAAAGAAAAGCAGCAGGUUAAUACCCCGCUGUUCUGACGGUACCCAAAGAAUAAGCACCGGCUAACUUCGUG